GUCUAAGGUAUGACCACCCUGAAUGUUCCCAAUCUGGUCUGCUCUUGGAUCAAGGCUGAGUCUGGCCUGGUUAGUACUUGGAUGGGAGACCUGGGAAUACCUGGUGCUAUAGGCU
rnacentral:rRNA from 1 species